AACGAACGCUGGCGGCAGGCCUAACACAUGCAAGUCGAACGCCGUAGCAAUACGGAGUGGCAGACGGGUGAGUAACACGUGGGAACGUACCCUUCGGUUCGGGAUAACUCAGGGAAACUUGAGCUAAUACCGGAUACGUCCGAGAGGAGAAAGAUUUAUCGCCGAGGGAUCGGCCCGCGUCUGAUUAGCUUGUUGGUGAGGUAACGGCUCACCAAGGCGACGAUCAGUAGCUGGUCNGAGAGGAUGAUCAGCCACA
rnacentral:rRNA from 1 species